CCUCACACCCCGGUCCGAAAGCUCAGAGACAGCUCUUGUUCUUCUGGACGGCAGCUGAUGAGGAUUAUGUCUGGCGAGCGAUCCAGGAAAAGCCUUCUAUACCUGCAUGCUAAAUGAGCAAGAACGCCCAGGCUUAGAAGAAAUGGGGCCAAACAAUCAUGGAUUGGAACCUUUGAAGCCGUGAGCCAAGAUAAAACUCCCUACCUCAGAACCCUUGACAGCCAUAUGUCAGAGAAGCAGACCACCUGAGGCUUGGAACUGGCUUGGAUUUGAUCUCCAACUGUCUGACAAGCUUCUGCAUGGCUCCCCAGACAAGCCUUAUGUUUGAGGCUCCUAGGACGACCUCUGUGGAUGGUAGGCAUUUUGUCACUGAUAUGAGAUCCCUGACAGGAGAGGAGAAAAAGGCGAAAAGGACCAUGUAUCUCAGGGUUUCAGUCUAUCACGGUGGGGAAGGGGCGUGAAGCGGGCCAAUAAAAUAUGGCUGGCAACCAAGGAACCAGUGCAGCAAGCUUCUCCUGACGUCACUGGGCCUCCUCUAGGAACAGCUGCUGAACUGGUUCAAUGGAUCUGUGGUUGUGACAGAAGCAACGGAUGUCGAGAGAUGUUCAUUUUGGCUCGUGGUUCAGGAGUACAGUCUGUAAUUGUGGGCAGGGGUCAGACUCAGAGAACCAGGCUGGCUCCCUUACUGAGCCAUCUCACUGUCCCUAGGAAUUGAAUCCAGCAGAACCUGCUGAUACUUGGAGCUAAGCCAUCCACCUGGGAUGGCAGAGCAGGAAGAGGUGCGAUGGGGUAAGGUGGUAGCCAGGGCCCUGGCUUUGGGCCCUGGAAGGUGACCCUCCAGCACAGCAGACACUCAUUCCCAAAUGUGUACCAGGUCCCUCUUUGCCAGCAAUCAUAAGGUUCAGAAAGCUCAGAGGGCCUGGUGCCCCCAACAAGUCAGCCGCCUCAGCCACCAUCUGCUCCUCAGAACUAGCAGAUCUCACAAGCAGCCUGUGGCUGAAACCAGUGCCAGAUUCUCCUGUCGUGGCUGUGGAGAGAGGCAGAGGGCGCUAACACGGGCCCUGGAUCAUGUUCUGGGGAGGUUGAUGCUGCCUGACCCUUUCGGGAAGGGCACAAGCAGUACUGGCAGAGCCCUCCCCACCUCUGGCUUGACCCUUGCUUAAUCUCAAACCUGGAGGUUGGUGUUCUAAUCCCACAGUGAUGCCCAUAGCUUGGGUAGAAACGAUUGCAAGGUAAUAUGUUUUGCUUUCAGAGAGUAAAUUAAAAUGAAGACUUCUGAUUUUAAGAAGCAAAACAUAAAAUCUGAUUCCUAAAUUAACCC